GUAAGCGCAAGUCACCAGCUUGCGUUGACUACGUCCCUGCCCUUUGUACACACCGCCCGUCGCUACUACCGAUUGAAUGGCUCAGUGAGGCGUCCGGACUGGUCUAGAGAGGUGGGAGACCACCACUCAGGGCCGGGAAGCUCUCCAAACUCGGUCAUUUAGAGGAAGUAAAAGUCGUAACAAGGUCUCCGUUGGUGAACCAGCGGAGGGAUCAUUA
rnacentral:rRNA from 1 species